UUUGUGAAUAUAAUCCACUUGAUGAACAAUAUAAACGCUACAAUGAUGCUGAAAAAAACUAUUAUUUUAAUUUUACUGGCUGCUCUUCUGGACAAAUCUGGUGCAAAAAAAGUCGACGGCUACAAAUGGUGCACGGUGGUCAAAAAUGGAGUCUGUGUGAAUUAAAAACUUUAUAAAUAUUAAAUAAAAUAUGUCCCUGUG
ensembl:ncRNA lncRNA:CR44805 long non-coding RNA:CR44805